UGCAGGGUAUAGACCCGAAACCCGGUGAUCUAGCCAUGGGCAGGUUGAAGGGUGGGUAACACUAACUGGAGGACCGAACCGACUAAUGUUGAAAAAUUAGCGGAUGACCUGUGGCUGGGGGUGAAAGGCCAAUCAAACCGGGAGAUAGCUGGUUCUCCCCGAAAGCUAUUUAGGUAGCGCCUCGUGAAUUCAUCUCCGGGGGUAGAGCACUGUUUCGGCUAGGGGGCCAUCCCGGCUUACCAACCCGAUGCAAACUGCGAAUACCGGAGAAUGUUAUCACGGGAGACACACGGCGGGUGCUAACGUCCGUCGUGAAGAGGGAAACAACCCAGACCGCCAGCUAAGGUCCCAAAGUCAUGGUUAAGUGGGAAACGAUGUGGGAAGGCCCAGACAGCCAGGAUGUUGGCUUAGAAGCAGCCAUCAUUUAAAGAAAGCGUAAUAGCUCACUGGUCGAGUCGGCCUGCGCGGAAGAUGUAACGGGGCUAAACCAUGCACCGAAGCUGCGGCAGCGACACUGUGUGUUGUUGGGUAGGGGAGCGUUCUGUAAGCCUGUGAAGGUGUGUCGUGAGGCAUGCUGGAGGUAUCAGAAGUGCGAAUGCUGACAUAAGUAACGAUAAAGCGGGUGAAAAGCCCGCUCGCCGGAAGACCAAGGGUUCCUGUCCAACGUUAAUCGGGGCAGGGUGAGUCGACCCCUAAGGCGAGGCCGAAAGGCGUAGUCGAUGGGAAACGGGUUAAUAUUCCCGUACUUGGUGUUACUGCGAAGGGGGGACGGAGAAGGCUAUGUUGGCCGGGCGACGGUUGUCCCGGUUUAAGCGUGUAGGUGUGUGUUCCAGGUAAAUCCGGUUCACUUUAACACUGAGGCGUGA
rnacentral:rRNA from 1 species